GACGAACGCUGGCGGCGUGCCUAAUACAUGCAAGUAGAACGCAGUUGCGAACGGGUGAGUAACGCGUAGGUAACUGCCUCAUAGCGGGGGAUAACUAUUGGAAACGAUAGCUAAUACCGCAUACUGUGAGAUGGACCUGCGUUGUAUUAGGUAGUUGGUGAGGUAAAGGCUCACCAAGGCGACGAUACAUUGCCGACCCGAGAGGGUGAUCGGCCAAACUGGGACUGGGAAACGGGCCAGACUCCUACGGGGGGCAGGAGUAGGGAAUCUUCGGAAAUGGACGGAAGUCUUACCGAGGAACGCCGCGGUAGUGAAGAAGGUUUUCGGAUUGGAAAGCUCUGUUGUUAGAGAAGCGUUACCUAAACAGAAAGGGACGGCUAACUACGUGCCAGCAGCCGCGGUAAUAC
rnacentral:rRNA from 1 species